ACUCACGUUUUUUUUCUCUAUGCCUCCUCCUCUCGCCACACUCUCUUCUUCUCUUCAACCCCCAGCCACUAAUCCCACAUCUGUCUCCUCUGUUUCUCUUCACCCUCAUCCCUCUCCUCCCGCACUUAUUAUUUUUUCUGGAUUCUCUAUUCAAAAACUUUUACCUUCAAUUUUAGAUCUACCACUGAAUCUCUUAGACGGCGGCGGAAGACGAAUCAAGUCUCGCAGGAGAAGAAGAAGAAGCCUGAAGACAUGUACUGCUUUGGUUGGCAAUCUGGUGGAAUGACGACUCAGGAUGGAUCUGAUGUAAUCCUUUUGGGAGUAGACUGGCAAACUCAUCUAUCCUCCUCGCCGAUUUGAAGGCUGACCGUUGUACUUCUUCCGUCGAGGUCUGACUCCUUUGGUUUUGACAACCUAUCACCAGAGCUCUUUAGGUUAUGUGGUUAUGAGCAACUACUGGAUCUGGAAAAUACAAACACCAAAACGUCAGGUCUAUUUCAAAACUCAUACUAUGGAAAAUAUUAAUAAUUUUAUGUUGUUUGAAUAAGAAAGGUGAUUUCGGAUACGUAAUAUGUAGACGUUUGGUUGUCGCUUUGAUGUAAUGUGAGUUCUGAAAUAUAUCUGAAAAUUUUGUGUUUGUAUUUGCUAGAGCCCGUAGCUACUAAUAACUUCAGAACCUACAGAGCAGCGCAGAUAGGUUCCCAAAACUUAAGGAGUCGGACCUCGACGGAAGAAGUACAAUGGUCAGCCGAGGAGGAGAGAUGAGUUUGUCAUUCUACUGAAAAAGAAGUUCUAAAGGUUAUUAGGAUUUGCGAGGAUGAUGUUCACGGGAUGAAGACUCACCUUUUUAUAUUUGGAGAUUUGUGGGAACCAAAAUUCACACCGUCGGGUCCCUCAUUCUCUGCGAGAGCCAACGACAAGUGACCAAAAAAUUUGGAAAAUACGAAAAGAAAACAAAAAAGAUUUACAGGAAAAGUAGAUCUUAUUUCGAAUCCGCGUAAGAGCGUAACAAAGUUACAACACAUUGUAAAAGAGAUUUGGCCUCAAGAGCUGUCAGCGA